CAAGGCUCCAUAUGGGUUCUACCACUCUCUGGGGUUUCUACUUUCUGGGGGUACAGAAAAUAGAAACAUGACUCAGAGUUCCUGCCUCAUGGAGUCUGGGAGCUUCCAGGAACACCUCAAGGAGGAAGCAGGGCUCACUACUAUACAACACAGGUGUCAUGUCCCAACACCCACCCAGCUUACCUGCAGAUCCCAGAAGAGCCAAGAGGUUCCGAGGGCACCCUUAAUGAGAUGAGACAAGGCACCUGAUGACACCCUUCCAUUACACCAGGCACCAGUACAGAAAGCAAGCUGUUCUGCGGCACCAGAACAUAUGAAAAGGAAGCGCAGUUUUCCACACACAGUCGCUUCCUGUCUCAGACCCCAUGACUGCAGAGUUCCAGAAAGUAAACACUGUAGAUCCAAGCGGAGUGCCAGAUGGUGGGCUGAAGUAGAACCAGCUCACAGAACCUGGAACACACAGGGCUGGGAGCUCCU
rnacentral:lncRNA from 1 species